rnacentral:rRNA from 2 species
CAUGCAAGUCGAACGCACCCUUCGGGGUGAGUGUGGACGGGUGAGUAACACGUGGAACUCUACCCAUCCCUACGGAAUAGCUCCGGGAAACUGGAAUUAAUGCCGUAUACGCCCUUUUGGGGAAAGAUUUAUCGGGGAUGGAUGACCCCGCGGUGGAUUACCUAGUUGGGGGGGUAAAGGCCAACCAAUGCUUGGAUGCAUAACUGGCCUGAGAGGAUGAUAUCCCACACUGGGACUGAAACACGAUCCCCACUCCUACAGGAGGCAGCAGUGGGGACUCCGGACAAUGGGCCAAGCCUGAUCCUGGAUGCCGCGUGAGUGAUUGAGGCCCUAUGGAUGUAAAGCUCAUUCAGCGGUGCAGAUUAUGACGG